GUUCUCUUAACCCACUUGCUUCAGUUUUUGUGAACCAUUGGAUGAAGAUCAAUGAUUGAGAUUUAAUCUUGUGGGAGAAGCUUUGACCAAUUUUUCACCAACAUACUACUUACCCCACGUUUUUGUGUAAGAAGGAGUGUCUUCGGUUGGGUGGGGGUUAUUUUAAAAGGGAGGCAGGCUGGUCAUUUUCGUGUGUGGCUCGACAGUAAAUUUCCUCCAUUUUUGGUUCCUUAAGGUGGUCUCUUGGUUGGUGGUUUUUCAAGGGGUUCUUUGCCGGUUCUUUCUAUCUCUCUUUGGAAGGCAAUUUGCAUAGCAUGGGGCUGUUCUUGAGCCUGGAAAAACUGCCAUAAGAGGUGAAGAAGCUGCUGCAAGGAAGAAGAAGAAGCUGGACAGAUUUCAGCCAUAUAAAGGGGUUGUAUUCUUCCGGUUUUAUUUUCUUGUUUUUGCCUUGAAUCUUGUUUGUUGAUUGAUGUAUUGGUUGAUUGAACUUCUAGGAUCCCCAAGAGGAACUUGAUAAGAGAUUGAUAAGGUAGUCACGGCGGAGGAGGCAGUCGUGGUCUGAAUGGUCGAUUCCAUUAGCUCACCCUUCGUCAUCUGUGACAUGGACGACGAAUCAAGAAUCGCCAUCAACGGAGAAAGAAGAGAGAUAGUGUAUCUAGUGUGUAUUUUGCUCUGUUGAGGAAGAAUGGUUGGGAGAUGCUAGGGGAGUUUGUUAUUUUUGAGGUUCCUAGACCAUUAUUUUUAUCAUCCAAGAUGUUUAGUUCUAGAAUAAUACUAU
rnacentral:lncRNA from 1 species